GGGUUCCUCCCGGCUCCGGGCCACGCCCCAGGGGAGGUGGGGCCAGGGGUCAUGCCCCAGAGGAGGUGGAGUCACGGGUCAAGGAUCACAGGUCACGCCCCGGGGCAGGUGGGGUACAAGUCUCCAGCAACGUGUGAGAGAUCCUGUUUCCCCAAAGCCUUGGAAUAAAACAUCAUCAAACUUUUGGAUCUUUCUAAUUUCAUCAGUGCAACAUGACAGGGUCGCCCAGGCUGGAGUGUAGUGGCUUGAACACAGCUUACUUGAAGCUUCAACCUCCCGGGCUCAAGUGAUCCUCCCAACUGUCUCCUGAGUAGCUGCAACUAGAGGCAUGUGCCAAGACGUCUGGCUAAUUUUUAAAUUUUUUGUAAGGAUGGGGUCUUGCUGUGUUGCCCAGACUGGUCUCAAACUCCUGGGCUCAAGUGAUCCCACAACCCUUGGCCUCCCAAAGUGCUAAGAUUACAGUUGUGAGCCACUGUGCCUGGCCUUAAGUUUUCUUUUAGUCAUUCACUGCUGUUUGGGAUUUUUUCACACAGAUAUUUUACUUUUUUAUUUGAUGUUUAUUAUCUAAAGAUAAUAAUGGAUUUUGUAAGUUAUGCCCUGUAACUGGUUGUUGUUUUUAUUUAUGAAUGAUAUUGAUUUAUAUGUGGGAAUUUUGCAUCCACUAACUUACAACAGUUUUUCCUUGUUUCUAAUUCUUUUGAAAUAGACUCUAUUGCAUUUCAAGGAAUUCAUCAAAUUAUCUGCAAAUGGUCAUGGUCAGAACUCCUCACUAAUUUUUACCUCUAAUUUAAAAAUUACUGGUUUCCUAUCUAAUUGCGCUGACCAGUGCCUCCAGAUCAGCACUAAA